rnacentral:rRNA from 1 species
UGGCGAACGGGUGAGUAACACGUAGGUAACCAACCUCAGGGCGGGGGACAACCCCGAGAAAUCGGGGCUAAUACCGCAUAAGACCACGGGCUGGGAUGUCCGUGGUAAAAUCCCGAGCAAUCGGGAACCCUGGGACGGGCCUGCGGCCUAUCAGGUAGUUGGCGGGGUAACGGCCCACCAAGCCCGAGACGGGUAGCCGGUCUGAGAGGAUGGACGGCCACACUGGAACUGAGACACGGUCCAGACUCCUACGGGAGGCAGCAGUGGGGAAUUUUGCGCAAUGGGGGAAACCCUGACGCAGCGACGCCGCGUGGAGGAUGAAGGCCCUCGGGUUGUAAACUCCUUUUGUGAGGGAAAAUAAUGAUGGUACCUCGCGAAUAAGCCACGGCUAACUCUGUGCCAGCAGCCGCGGUAAGACAGAGGUGGCAAGCGUUGUUCGGAAUUACUGGGCUUAAAGGGCGUGUAGGCGGUAUGGCAAGUCUGAGGUGGAAUCCCGGGGCUUAACCCCGGAAUUGCCUUGGAAACUGCCUUACUUGAGUCAGUGAGGGGAGGGCGGAAUUCCCGGUGUAGCAGUGAAAUGCGUAGAUAUCGGGAGGAAGGCCGGUGGCGAAGGCGGCCCUCUGGUGCUUGACUGACGCUGAGGCGCUAAAGCGUGGGGAGCAAACAGGAUUAGAUACCCUGGUAGUCCACGCCCUAAACGGUGGGCAUUAGGUGUAGGGCUCGCAAGGGUUCUGUGCCGUAGGGAAACCAUUAAAUGCCCCGCCUGGGGAGUACGGCCGCAAGGUUGAAACUCAAGGAAUUGACGGGGGCCCGCACAAGCGGUGGAGCAUGUGGUUUAAUUCG